ensembl:snoRNA U3 Small nucleolar RNA U3
AAGAUUAUAUUUUCAGGGAUCAUUUCUAUAGUUUGUCACUAGGGAAGUUUCUCUGAAUGUGUAGAGCACCAGAAACAUGAGGAAGAGGCGCAGGGUUCUCUCCUGAGUGUGAAGCUGGCUCUUGGCCCUGCUUUCCUGCAACUGCUAUUUGCCAUUGGUGAUUGUGGAGAGUCAGAGGGAGAGGAUGAUGCAGUCUGAGUGGU